ensembl:snoRNA
UGAUGACUGUUCGUCUUACUGCCAUGAGCCAUGGGCAGUGGGAUUUUGUGUCAUCGCAGAUUAAACUUGGCCUUUUCUUCACUCAGAAUGCUCCUGGAUGGGUUUGGUCAUCCAUUGGCACGUCUGAAUUUUGCGGGGUCAGACACUC